CCGCUACCAAGCUGUAUAAAUCCACAGGCGAAGAAGUUUCCGUGCUGUUUCGUUUCCCUCAACAAUUAUUUUCGUAAUCUGAUUGGGUCCGCUCCUAAUCAGUCCCAAUACAGACAACCAACCUGCAGGUUAGUCCAUUUACACACGUAUUUAAGAUUUUACACAUUAUUUUAUACAAAAAAGAACACAUUAUAAUUUGGAAGAUUUAAUAAUUAAUUGUAAAUUUAUAACCAAAUGAGCUGAAACCUGAAAGUCAAAGUAUCUCAAAUUCCAGGUGUCCUAAGAUCUUCGUAUAACAGUCGUGCCACGUCAUUGGCGUUAAUAGUCAACAGGUGAUGGGAAAGGAAUGAUACUGGAUAAGCGGAUAUGCUCUCACUGCCUAUUAAGAAUGUCUUUUUAUUCUUCUUUGGAUAUGCGAAUAUGCUUUUGCUACUCCUAAUUCGUACUUUCUAUAUAUAAUUAAACUUAGCAAGUGGAUUCAUGCAAUUAUUCUCCAUAUUUCUUUCCAGAAAUUACCCUUACCCCACGUUGAGCUCGGCAGUCCAUUUUUUGGACACUCUGACCGAAAUCACCUUGGAUCCUCCAUAAUUAGCCUGAAAAAAAGUCGGUAGGUGAGAUAUGUUGGAUUCUUUGGUGUAGAUAUUUAUAAAAGUUGCAAGCUUCUUUAAAUGGUUAACUAAUAUGAAAAGGAAGGGCAUAUGGAUGCGGUGGGUGUAUCCUCAAGUCAACCAUUAUAAUGCAUUAAAACCAAAUUUAAUGGGUUAUUUGCACGUUGAAAGAAAAUCAUUUAUCCAUUCCAGCUAUUUAAGUUGAAAUAUUUUAGUCGAAUAGAAUAUAUUAUUAUAAAUUUAUUUUAUAUGAUAUAAAUUAUAGAAUAUAUGAAAUUAGUGGAAUAGUUCCUAGCUCGGUUAGUAACAAAAUUAGUUGUCGAUGCAGGAAGACAUGAGUUCUAUAGUAUUAAAAUAUAUUUAUCCUCUUUUCUAAUGAUUGAAAGAAGGAUUAUGAGUAGUUUUAAAACUUGUAUCAGUAAAAUAUACUAUAUUUCAUAAUUAGAAAAUAGAUUGGGUUAGAUUAUAAAAAUAGGAGUCCAAAUUCGAUCUAUAAUUUAAAUGUAUUUUUUUUUACGGUUUCUAAUCCUAAUAUUUUUUAUGAACUCUAUUACAUAUGGAUCAAGAUUUUAAUUUUUUUAAUAUUCUUUGAAGUUUAUGAUUAUCUGAAAAUUUUUUUUAAAUUUUAACAAAUAAUCCACCUUUAAACAAAUUUAUUAUUGGACGGCAUACUUUUUCCAGAACACAGGAAAUUUCUUAAUUUGCUUACGUUGGUUAGAUGGUGACAAAUUUUGGACUAAAGGACGACCCUUCCCUAACCUUUGCUCGUCAGUGAGACGCUAUAACUUGGACGUGCGUGCUUUUUCCAGAACCCGGAAAUUUUCUUAAUUUGCUAUGUUUGGCAAUUGCUGAGAAAUUUUCGACUACAGGACGUUUCUUCCCUAACCUUCGAAUAAAACAAACAUGAUUCCCAGCAUCAGCGUACGUCAAGAAAAGUACAAGCGAUAAACUAAAACGCACACUUGUACUAGCUGCUACUUGUAGUUCGUGUCAUUGUGCAUGAUUUUGCGUAGCCAAUCGUUCAACUUCUUCAUACAUGCAGCGUUAUAUAUAUUACAAUAUACCCUCAACGUAUAACACUAAACUCUUUACAACAGUAUUUUAUUAUAAUACUUAUAGAAUCAAUUUUUAUAUUUUAUUUUAACUUUUUAUGACAACUACAAAAUACGUUUUUUUAAUUAAAUUAAUUUUUCAUAAUAGUUAUUUUUCUUCAAAUUUUAAUAAAAUUAGUUUUUAUUACUACGUGAAAUACAAUUAAUAAAUUUUAAUUAUUUUUAACAAAUAUAUUUAAAUUUUACAUAAAAAGUCUAGUAAGCAUACUUUAUUAAAUUAAGUUACAUUUAGAAAAUUUAUCAAAAUGAUAUAAUCUAAAUCUCACUAACUAAUAUAUAAAUCUUAAAUAUUGUUAUAGGUAUAUAUAUAUAACAAGUAUCAUUCUAUAACACCCAAAAUUUUAGUAAAAGACUGUUAUAGAAAAUGUUGAUUGUAUUAACUUUUUAUAUAUGUGUAAAGAUAUAAUUGUUGACGGAUGUUGACUUCUAGUGACUAAUUAUAUAUCAAUCAACAUGAUUAAAAUUUAAUUUGAUUUUUUAAUUUUUAUUUAAAUUUAUAUGUGCUUGGAAAUUAUAUAUAUUUUUAAUUGUCUAAAAACAGCAAUAAUUUUAAUUUUUAAUUAAAUUUACAUAUCAGGGAAAAGAAAAGAUGUUAACUUUACCGUCCUAUACUUGUUAUUGAUAUGUCUGACGUAGAAUGUAAGACAAUCUAUGAUCAAGAGAGUACGCAAAGAUUAAUAUAAAAUUAAUUGCGUUAGGGUUUAGGGUAUACCAUGCUUAUUUCUAAACUAUAAUUAAUUUCAAGAAAAAUAUGUUAUAAAUGAACAAAUUUUUUUUCUCUUUUUAAAUUCACUUUCACAUGUGAGUUUAUUGCAAGAAACAGCGUUAUGCAUGUAAACGAAACACGUGUUUUUCUCAAAGUGCAAUUGAGUAAAUUUACCUGAAAUUAGAGCUGUACAUGAAUUAGAAAUCCAAAUCUUGAUUGGGGACUUAAAUAGGG
rnacentral:lncRNA from 1 species